UACGUAGGGUCCGAGCGUUGUCCGGAAUUAUUGGGCGUAAAGAGCUCGUAGGCGGUCUGUCACGUCGACUGUGAAAUCCCGAGGCUCAACCUCGGGCCUGCAGUCGAUACGGGCAGACUAGAGUUCGGUAGGGGAGACUGGAAUUCCUGGUGUAGCGGUGAAAUGCGCAGAUAUCAGGAGGAACACCGGUGGCGAAGGCGGGUCUCUGGGCAGAAACUGACGCUGAGGAGCGAAAGCGUGGGGAGCGAACAGG
rnacentral:rRNA from 1 species